AUUGAACGCUGGCGGCAGGCCUAACACAUACAAGUCGAACGGAUGGCGGACGGGUGAGGAAGGUCCGGGAAAAUGCCUGAUGGAGGGGGAAGACUUCUGGGAACGGUAGCUAAAAACGCAAACCAUCCGAUGGGCCCAGAGGGGAUUAGAUAGUUGGGGGGGUAACGGCCCAACAGGGCGACGAUCCCUAGCUGGUCUGAGAGGACGACCAGCCACACUGGAACUGAGACACGGUCCAGACUCCUACGGGAGGCAGCAGUGGGGAAUAGUGCACAAUGGGCGCAAGCCUGAUGCAGCCAUGCCGCGUGUAUGAAGAAGGCCUUCGGGUUGUAAAGUACUUUCGGCGGGGAGGCGUUACCCGCAGAAGAAGCACCGGCUAACUCCGUGCCAGCAGCCGCGGUAAUAC
rnacentral:rRNA from 1 species